GUCGACCUGCUGCAGGAUUGCCGUCGGCGGUGGUUUCUCGCUGUCUAGCCGACGACGCGGUGACUAUUCCGAAUUCCGGGGGCACGAAAUCAUCCAUUCUCCGGUCGUCUGCUCUGUUGUUGUCGCUACAAUAUAUUAUUACAAUAACAGUGCCUAUUAUCGUCGUCGUCGUCGUCGUCGUCGUCGUCGGACUACAAUGGCUGAAUAAUGGGUGCACCCCGGUGACUGGUGCACCGCGAAAGUCAUGAUUGAUUGCCAAGAGACACGCGUACGUAUAAUAAUAUUGAAUUGUACUGCAAGUAUGCGGAUGAUUUGUGCGCUCGACAUUUGCGGGGGCGGUCGUGUGUAGAAACGAUUUCCGAUGCGAUUCAAACGACCGCGGACCGACCGCGACUGAUCGCUUAUUAUUCGCCAAUCGUAUAAUAUAUAGGUACUUACACGGUUCUACGUGUCGGUACGACGAUGUACGCAUAACAUUUACCGGGUGCUGAGUAAUGCAACGACUGCACACACACACACACACACACACACACACACACGUGCAGGUGCAUUACAAGAUUUCGCCGUCGGAUCGUGCGAACCCGGCGACCGCGAGCUUUUAGUGGACGGAAGAUAUCGCGCGACAUCGAAUAUUAACCCACAACAGCGGUCAGCGGCACGCUGCCCACCCGAGUCUCCAUGAACAUUAAUCGACUAGCAGAGGAGUACGUGGUAAUGCGAAAGGAAAACGGCUCUUGGGAGUACAUCAUAUUAUCAUUGAAACUGAAAAAACGAUGCUCAAAAAUCACAAGAGUUGUACACCCAGUAGAAACAACAGGGUUGUAAAAUGAUCAACGUAUAAUAAUAUGUCUAAUAUGAUUAACAAUAAACACAAUAUGCAAAGGG